rnacentral:rRNA from 1 species
GAAUAUUGGACAAUGGGCGCAAGCCUGAUCCAGCCAUGCCGCGUGAGUGAAGAAGGCCUUAGGGUUGUAAAGCUCUUUCACCCGUGACGAUGAUGACGGUAGCGGGAGAAGAAGCCCCGGCUAACUCCGUGCCAGCAGCCGCGGUAAUACGGAGGGGGCAAGCGUUGUUCGGAAUUACUGGGCGUAAAGGGCGCGUAGGCGGACCUUCAAGUCAGGGGUGAAAGGCCUGGGCUCAACCUGGGAACUGCCUUUGAAACUGGAGGUCUUGAGUCCGGGAGAGGAUGGCGGAAUUCCCAGUGUAGAGGUGAAAUUCGUAGAUAUUGGGAAGAACACCGGUGGCGAAGGCGGCCAUCUGGUCCGGCACUGACGCUGAGGCGCGAAAGCGUGGGGAGCAAACAGG